CUCUUAUCAAGAGUAGGUGGAGGGACUAGCCCUUUGAAACCCGGCAACCGGCUUAUCUAACGAUAAAAACGGUGCUAAUUCUUGCAGUUCAGAAAUGGACUGAGAGAUAAGAG
rnacentral:ncRNA from 2 species